rnacentral:rRNA from 1 species
AGAGUUUGAUCAUGGCUCAGAUUGAACGCUGGCGGCAGGCCUAACACAUGCAAGUCGAGCGGAUGAAGGGAGCUUGCUCCUGGAUUCAGCGGCGGACGGGUGAGUAAUGCCUAGGAAUCUGCCUGGUAGUGGGGGAUAACGUCCGGAAACGGGCGCUAAUACCGCAUACGUCCUGAGGGAGAAAGUGGGGGAUCUUCGGACCUCACGCUAUCAGAUGAGCCUAGGUCGGAUUAGCUAGUUGGUGGGGUAAAGGCCUACCAAGGCGACGAUCCGUAACUGGUCUGAGAGGAUGAUCAGUCACACUGGAACUGAGACACGGUCCAGACUCCUACGGGAGGCAGCAGUGGGGAAUAUUGGACAAUGGGCGAAAGCCUGAUCCAGCCAUGCCGCGUGUGUGAAGAAGGUCUUCGGAUUGUAAAGCACUUUAAGUUGGGAGGAAGGGCAGUAAGUUAAUACCUUGCUGUUUUGACGUUACCAACAGAAUAAGCACCGGCUAACUUCGUGCCAGCAGCCGCGGUAAUACGAAGGGUGCAAGCGUUAAUCGGAAUUACUGGGCGUAAAGCGCGCGUAGGUGGUUCAGCAAGUUGGAUGUGAAAUCCCCGGGCUCAACCUGGGAACUGCAUCCAAAACUACUGAGCUAGAGUACGGUAGAGGGUGGUGGAAUUUCCUGUGUAGCGGUGAAAUGCGUAGAUAUAGGAAGGAACACCAGUGGCGAAGGCGACCACCUGGACUGAUACUGACACUGAGGUGCGAAAGCGUGGGGAGCAAACAGGAUUAGAUACCCUGGUAGUCCACGCCGUAAACGAUGUCGACUAGCCGUUGGGAUCCUUGAGAUCUUAGUGGCGCAGCUAACGCGAUAAGUCGACCGCCUGGGGAGUACGGCCGCAAGGUUAAAACUCAAAUGAAUUGACGGGGGCCCGCACAAGCGGUGGAGCAUGUGGUUUAAUUCGA